UACGGAGGGUGCAAGCGUUAUCCGGAUUUACUGGGUUUAAAGGGUGUGUAGGCGGGUCUUUAAGUCAGUGGUGAAAUCUCCGAGCUCAACUUGGAAACUGCCAUUGAUACUAUUGAUCUUGAAUUUUGUUGAGGUUGGCGGAAUAAGUCAUGUAGCGGUGAAAUGCAUAGAUAUGACUUAGAACACCGAUUGCGAAGGCAGCUAACUAAGCAGAUAUUGACGCUGAGGCACGAAAGCGUGGGGAUCAAACAGG
rnacentral:rRNA from 1 species